GGUGGGCUGUGAGCGCCGCGGAGCAUGUCAGGGCGAAAUUCUCACAAGAACACAAAUAAAUGCCCCGUCAGAUAUAAAAACACGUUAGGGGGGAAUUGAUGACAGAGAGAGUAAUUUUUAUUCUUAAAUAUAGAUGAAUGAAGAAAAAAUUGGUCUCCAGCAGAAGGGGCACUUUUUUCAUCCAGGGCAAAAGGGCCAGUGCUUGAGCACAACGAGGGGUCUAUCUGUGCACGUGCCUGUUCAUCGUGCAGCUUCCUCCUCUCCCUCUGCUUCUAGGGUCUUGUCAGUAUUUCAUGUCAGGGCUUCCACCAGAGGAUGCUGUCUGCCUCCUCAUCACGUACGGCCCAGUUUUGCCAUACUGGGAAUCGCCUCUGUUUUGGUUGGGGCUGUCGCUGCCUCCACAGGGCAAGUGAGUGGCAGGAGAUGUGGAUGGCUUCUCCCUUCUGCAGCAGACAAGGCACACCUGCUCUCACUCAAGGCAUCAACCUCCCAAUAAAAGCCUGGUCUUGACUUCCCUACUCUGCCCAGAUAAUGCCGUCUAGUUCGGUGUUGAUAUCUUUUGGUAGAACCUCGCCAUUGUUUUUUCUCCCUUUAACUCAGGUUAUCCUGUGCCUUGCUGUUGCCUUCACUGUGUGUUCAGUGCUGGGUUUUUUCCUACCAUGUGCUCUGCACUCGUGCUGUCCUUGGGAUCCAGCCAGCCUGCUCUCUGCCUCCACUACCUUCUCUUUUUUGCUUCUUUUUGAGCAAUAAUGUGAUUUAUUUAUCUACGCCUGCAUUCAGUCUCUGCUGUGGGGUCCGAACUAAAUCAAGACAUCACAACACCUAAUUCCUGGGAUUUCUCUGUGCAUAUUGUUUGAUAAAUCACCCUCAAAUAUUUAUUAUAACAAAAUCACUCACAGACAGUAUGUUCAAUAUUAAACAGAGGUAAUUAUCAAAUAA